AACGAACGCUGGCGGCAUGCCUAACACAUGCAAGUCGAACGAGACCUUCGGGUCUAGUGGCGCACGGGUGCGUAACGCGUGGGAAUUUGCCUCGGGGUACGGAAUAACUCAGGGAAACUUGAGCUAAUACCGUAUGAUGUCUUCGGACCAAAGAUUUAUCGCCCUGAGAUAAGCCCGCGUAGGAUUAGCUAGUUGGUGAGGUAAGAGCUCACCAAGGCGACGAUCCUUAGCUGGUCUGAGAGGAUGAUCAGCCACACUGGGACUGAGACACGGCCCAGACUCCUACGGGAGGCAGCAGUGGGAAUAUUGGACAAUGGGCGAAAGCCUGAUCCAGCAAUGCCGCGUGAGUGAUGAAGGCCUGGUUGUAAG
rnacentral:rRNA from 1 species